AACGAACGCUGGCGGCAUGCCUAACACAUGCAAGUCGAACGAGACCUUCGGGUCUAGUGGCGCACGGGUGCGUAACGCGUGGGAACCUGCCCUUAGGUUCGGAAUAACUCCCCGAAAGGGGUGCUAAUACCGGAUAAUGUCUUCGGACCAAAGAUUUAUCGCCUUUGGAUGGGCCCGCGUUGGAUUAGCUAGUUGGUAGGGUAAAAGCCUACCAAGGCGACGAUCCAUAGCUGGUCUGAGAGGAUGAUCAGCCACACUGGGACUGAGACACGGCCCAGACUCCUACGGGAGGCAGCAGUGGGGAAUAUUGGACAAUGGGCGAAAGCCUGAUCCAGCAAUGCCGCGUGAGUGAUGAAGGCCUCAGGGUUGUAAAGCUCUUUUACCCGGGAUGAUAAUGACAGUACCGGGAGAAUAAGCUCCGGCUAACUCCGUG
rnacentral:rRNA from 1 species